rnacentral:snRNA from 1 species
UUGCUCACUUCAGCAACACAUACACAAAGUUGGAAGGAUACAGGAAAAAUUAACCUUGCCCUAUGUAAGGAUGACAUGCAAAUCUGCAAGGCAUUCAUUCCUCGU